GAUUAACGCUGGCGGCGUGCAUAACACAUGCAAGUCGAACGAUCAAACUUAGUACACUUCUUCGGAAAGACACUAAGCGGCUUAGUGGCGAACGGUUGAGUAACGCGUUAGUAACCUGCCUUACACAAGGGGAUAGCCUUCUGAAACGAAGAAUAAUACCCUAUAAAACCAUAAAAGCACAUGCUAGAAUGGUCAAAGUGAUAGCGGAGUAAGAUGGACUUGCUUGUGAAUAUCUAGUUGGUGAGAUAAAAGCUCACCAAGGCAGCGAUCAGAAGCCGGAUCGAGAGCGUGUACGGGAACAUUGGGAGUGAGACAAGGCCCAGACUCCCACGGGAGGCAGCAGGGGGGAAGUUUGCACGAUGGGGGAAAGACUGAUGCAGCGACGCCGCGUGAUUUAGAAGGUAUUCGAGUUGUAAAAAUCUAUUGUAUGGGAAGAACAUGACAGUACUAAACGAAUAAGGCCCGGCUAAUUACGUG
rnacentral:rRNA from 1 species